GUUCCUGCUAAGGCAUUGGAAAUCUCAAGUCUGCCUCACUGCCCACUGUGGGACUCAAACCAUAUGCGCAUCUGCUGCUGCUGCUGGAGCGGGUGGGAUUGGAGAGGGCUUCAUGGUGCUUGUUCUCGAAGUGUUUGUCAUUGGACUGAAGGAGAGAAGCUGAGGGAAAGGUGUUCAGGCAUCAGCUAGGACAACCGUGAGCGAGAUGGACCUGUGCUGGGCAUCUGGCCACCUGCUGAGGAAGGUGUGGCCUCGAGCGGGUGGCUCUACGACCAGGCCAGAGACUUCGUGUUUUGGCCUAAGGUGUGGAGCCGGGUUAUCUGCAGAACACACGGAGGUGCUGGAGCUAAGCCUGAAUGCAAGUCAUGCACGGGCAGCUUGAUGAGCAUAUCUGGAGUCCUGGGUGAAUGAACUGCCAACCUGGCCACUCUGGUCCCUGGUCUAUCCAUGCGCCAGCAAGCAAAGGAUGAAUUCCGGGUCCUCCAGGUGGCAGGAGUGGGCUGUAUCCUUAGGACCUGCACUGGAGCCAUGGACAACAUCCAUUCUAAUUGUUCAACAGACUCAGACUAACCCACCCGAGUUCCACACAGUCCA
rnacentral:lncRNA from 1 species